UCUGAAAGUUGACCGACUUAUCAAGUCUGGAAAUGAAGUAUUUGUCAAUAGCUAGUCAAAUACCAUAAGUCGUUGAUUUCAGAUACGGACUAUUUUGUCUACACCUUUUACAUACCAGCCAUUGAUAGGUACUGCCUGUCUGAACAUAUUGUUAUUGCUAGUGGUCAACUUAGUUGACCAAUACAUGGAGAAACAAGCUUAUGUAGCUGCGAAUUGGCAUUGUCUCUAAAGGCUCAUACGAAUAAAUUUUUUUUCAAAGAUAUCCAUGAUUGCUACAAACGUGACACCUCAUAGAGACGAAGCUAUGGAAAUGGUCUUACUACUUCAAAGUCAUUUAUAAAUUACUGUGAUCUGUGGUAAGGUAAACUUAUGUCAAAAUUUGAGAGGAUUUGACACUCUUGAAAGGAUGAAGUAAGAUGAUUUGAUGCACUUCAAAUUGAAAAUGUGAUAAAACACGAAGCUACAUUCCACAUGAUGGAGACCUACUCAUAUUCGGAUUUGUGUCCGAAGCAAUGAUUGAAUUAUAAAACUAAUUUCCAACAGA